GUGAUUCGGCGGUAUAUAUCCUAACAUUGUAACGAUAUAUAGAAGAUUAGCAUGGCCCCCGCUCAAGGAUGACACGCGAAAUCGUAAAGCUUUCCAUAUAUUU
rnacentral:snRNA from 1 species